GGUGCUGACGAGUGGCGAACGGGUGAGUAAUGCAUCGGAACGUGCCCAGUCGUGGGGGAUAACUGCUCGAAAGAGCAGCUAAUACCGCAUACGAUCUGCGGAUGAAAGCGGGGGACCUUCGGGCCUCGCGCGAUUGGAGCGGCCGAUGUCAGAUUAGGUAGUUGGUGGGGUAAAGGCUCACCAAGCCGACGAUCUGUAGCUGGUCUGAGAGGACGACCAGCCACACUGGGACUGAGACACGGCCCAGGCUCCUACGGGAGGCAGCAGUGGGGAAUUUUGGACAAUGGGCGCAAGCCUGAUCCAGCAAUGCCGCGUGCAGGAAGAAGGCCUUCGGGUUGUAAACUGCUUUUGUACGGAACGAAAAGCUCUGGGCUAAUACCCUGGGGUGAGGACGGUACCGUAAGAAUAAGCACCGGCUAACUACGUGCCAGCAGCCGCGGUAAUACGUAGGGUGCGAGCGUUAAUCGGAAUUACUGGGCGUAAAGCGUGCGCAGGCGGUUUUGUAAGACAGGCGUGAAAUCCCCGGGCUCAACCUGGGAAUGGCGCUUGUGACUGCAAGGCUGGAGUGCGGCAGAGGGGGAUGGAAUUCCGCGUGUAGCAGUGAAAUGCGUAGAUAUGCGGAGGAACACCGAUGGCGAAGGCAAUCCCCUGGGCCUGCACUGACGCUCAUGCACGAAAGCGUGGGGAGCAAACAGGAUUAGAUACCCUGGUAGUCCACGCCCUAAACGAUGUCAACUGGUUGUUGGGUCUUAGCUGACUCAGUAACGAAGCUAACGCGUGAAGUUGACCGCCUGGGGAGUA
rnacentral:rRNA from 1 species